rnacentral:misc_RNA from 1 species
AUCUUUUAAUUACUUAUUCAAGUAAAAUACAUGUUAUUUUCAAAAGUGUGGGGUUUUAAAUACGCGCAAACCUUGCAAAAUGAAUGCCAGGCUUGCUAGGUUCAAUAAUGAUCCUUCCGCAGGUUCACCUACGGAAA